rnacentral:rRNA from 1 species
GGGACACGUGGUAUCCUGUCUGAAUAUGGGGGGACCAUCCUCCAAGGCUAAAUACUCCUGACUGACCGAUAGUGAACCAGUACCGUGAGGGAAAGGCGAAAAGAACCCCGGCGAGGGGAGUGAAAAAGAACCUGAAACCGUGUACGUACAAGCAGUGGGAGCACGCUUAGGCGUGUGACUGCGUACCUUUUGUAUAAUGGGUCAGCGACUUAUAUUCUGUAGCAAGGUUAACCGAAUAGGGGAGCCGAAGGGAAACCGAGUCUUAACUGGGCGUUAAGUUGCAGGGUAUAGACCCGAAACCCGGUGAUCUAGCCAUGGGCAGGUUGAAGGUUGGGUAACACUAACUGGAGGACCGAACCGACUAAUGUUGAAAAAUUAGCGGAUGACUUGUGGCUGGGGGUGAAAGGCCAAUCAAACCGGGAGAUAGCUGGUUCUCCCCGAAAGCUAUUUAGGUAGCGCCUCGUGAAUUCAUCUCCGGGGGUAGAGCACUGUUUCGGCAAGGGGGUCAUCCCGACUUACCAACCCGAUGCAAACUGCGAAUACCGGAGAAUGUUAUCACGGGAGACACACGGCGGGUGCUAACGUCCGUCGUGAAGAGGGAAACAACCCAGACCGCCAGCUAAGGUCCCAAAGUCAUGGUUAAGUGGGAAACGAUGUGGGAAGGCCCAGACAGCCAGGAUGUUGGCUUAGAAGCAGCCAUCAUUUAAAGAAAGCGUAAUAGCUCACUGGUCGAGUCGGCCUGCGCGGAAGAUGUAACGGGGCUAAACCAUGCACCGAAGCUGCGGCAGCGACACUAUGUGUUGUUGGGUAGGGGAGCGUUCUGUAAGCCUGUGAAGGUGUGCUGUGAGGCAUGCUGGAGGUAUCAGAAGUGCGAAUGCUGACAUAAGUAACGAUAAAGCGGGUGAAAAGCCCGCUCGCCGGAAGACCAAGGGUUCCUGUCCAACGUUAAUCGGGGCAGGGUGAGUCGACCCCUAAGGCGAGGCCGAAAGGCGUAGUCGAUGGGAAACAGGUUAAUAUUCCUGUACUUGGUGUUACUGCGAAGGGGGGACGGAGAAGGCUAUGUUGGCCGGGCGACGGUUGUCCCGGUUUAAGCGUGUAGGCUGGUUUUCCAGGCAAAUCCGGAAAAUCAAGGCUGAGGCGUGAUGACGAGGCACUACGGUGCUGAAGCAACAAAUGCCCUGCUUCCAGGAAAAGCCUCUAAGCAUCAGGUAACAUCAAAUCGUACCCCAAACCGACACAGGUGGUCAGGUAGAGAAUACCAAGGCGCUUGAGAGAACUCGGGUGAAGGAACUAGGCAAAAUGGUGCCGUAACUUCGGGAGAAGGCACGCUGAUAUGUAGGUGAAGUCCCUCGCGGAUGGAGCUGAAAUCAGUCGAAGAUACCAGCUGGCUGCAACUGUUUAUUAAAAACACAGCACUGUGCAAACACGAAAGUGGACGUAUACGGUGUGACGCCUGCCCGGUGCCGGAAGGUUAAUUGAUGGGGUUAGCCGCAAGGCGAAGCUCUUGAUCGAAGCCCCGGUAAACGGCGGCCGUAACUAUAACGGUCCUAAGGUAGCGAAAUUCCUUGUCGGGUAAGUUCCGACCUGCACGAAUGGCGUAAUGAUGGCCAGGCUGUCUCCACCCGAGACUCAGUGAAAUUGAACUCGCUGUGAAGAUGCAGUGUACCCGCGGCAAGACGGAAAGACCCCGUGAACCUUUACUAUAGCUUGACACUGAACAUUGAGCCUUGAUGUGUAGGAUAGGUGGGAGGCUUAGAAGUGUGGACGCCAGUCUGCAUGGAGCCGACCUUGAAAUACCACCCUUUAAUGUUUGAUGUUCUAACGU